AAGAACCUGGAAUCAUGGCAAUUCCAAAAGGUUGCUACAAACUGAACAGGACAUAAUUAACAUAACUUCUCAAUAUCUAGUAUGCUUUGUACUUGUCCAAAUCACAACAUAUUGGCUAUACAAAGCGAUAAAGGUUAUGAUGGGAUUGGAAUAGGCCUACAGGUUUAAACGCAGAAAUGCAAUAAAAUUAGGCUUCCAAUAGGAAGAGGAGGAGGAGAAGAACCAGCCAACAGCUAAUCCCUUAAACACAGGCAUGCACAGCAAAGAUACAAAUAAUAUACUCUCUGCGCUAUGACUGGAUUCUUACUUCAAACAAAAGCCAAUCAGCAUGCCCUUGUCUUUCCCUCUACCAUAACCAUGUCAUGCAACAUAUAUAUUAAAAUAAGAAAACACUGAUUAAAAAUCUAGUUUUCAGGGGAAGAAAAGAAUUACAUCCUGCAGGCAAGAUCAACCAAU
rnacentral:misc_RNA from 1 species